rnacentral:rRNA from 1 species
UACGUAGGGCGCAAGCGUUAUCCGGAAUUAUUGGGCGUAAAGAGCUCGUAGGCGGUUUGUCGCGUCUGCUGUGAAAACGCGAGGCUCAACCUCGCGCCUGCAGUGGGUACGGGCAGACUAGAGUGUGGUAGGGGGAGACUGGAAUUCCUGGUGUAGCGGUGGAAUGCGCAGAUAUCAGGAGGAACACCGAUGGCGAAGGCAGGUCUCUGGGCCAUUACUGACACUGAGAAGCGAAAGCAUGGGGAGCGAACAGG